UACGGAGGGUGCAAGCGUUAUCCGGAUUCACUGGGUUUAAAGGGUGCGUAGGCGGGCAGGUAAGUCCGUGGUGAAAUCUCUGAGCUUAACUCAGAAACUGCCGUGGAUACUAUUUGUCUUGAAUAUUGUGGAGGUAAGCGGAAUAUGUCAUGUAGCGGUGAAAUGCUUAGAUAUGACAUAGAACACCAAUUGCGAAGGCAGCUUACUACACAGUUAUUGACGCUGAGGCACGAAAGCGUGGGGAUCAAACAGG
rnacentral:rRNA from 1 species